rnacentral:rRNA from 1 species
GACCGCGUAUGAAAGUACGUUUCACCUCGGGUGACAGGGAGACGAGGUGGUGCAUGGUUGUCGUCAGCCCGUGUCGUGAGAUGUUGGGUUAAGUCCCGCAACGAGCGCAACCCCUACGUUUAGUUGCUAACGCGUGAAGGCGAGCACUCUAGACGAACUGCCGUUGACAAAACGGAGGAAGGUGGGGAUGACGUCAAAUCAUCAUGCCCCUUAUGUUCUGGGCUACACACGUGCUACAAUGGCCGGUACAGACGGACGCAAAGCCGCGAGGUGGAGCAAAUCCUAAAAAGCCGGUCUCAGUUCGGAUUGCAGGCUGCAAUUCGCCUGCACGAAGUCGGAAUCGCUAGUAAUCGCAGGUCAGCAUACUGCGGUGAAUACGUUCCCGGGCCUU